rnacentral:rRNA from 4 species
CGGGACACGUGGUAUCCUGUCUGAAUAUGGGGGGACCAUCCUCCAAGGCUAAAUACUCCUGACUGACCGAUAGUGAACCAGUACCGUGAGGGAAAGGCGAAAAGAACCCCGGCGAGGGGAGUGAAAAAGAACCUGAAACCGUGUACGUACAAGCAGUGGGAGCACGCUUAGGCGUGUGACUGCGUACCUUUUGUAUAAUGGGUCAGCGACUUAUAUUCUGUAGCAAGGUUAACCGAAUAGGGGAGCCGAAGGGAAACCGAGUCUUAACUGGGCGUUAAGUUGCAGGGUAUAGACCCGAAACCCGGUGAUCUAGCCAUGGGCAGGUUGAAGGUUGGGUAACACUAACUGGAGGACCGAACCGACUAAUGUUGAAAAAUUAGCGGAUGACUUGUGGCUGGGGGUGAAAGGCCAAUCAAACCGGGAGAUAGCUGGUUCUCCCCGAAAGCUAUUUAGGUAGCGCCUCGUGAAUUCAUCUCCGGGGGUAGAGCACUGUUUCGGCAAGGGGGUCAUCCCGACUUACCAACCCGAUGCAAACUGCGAAUACCGGAGAAUGUUAUCACGGGAGACACACGGCGGGUGCUAACGUCCGUCGUGAAGAGGGAAACAACCCAGACCGCCAGCUAAGGUCCCAAAGUCAUGGUUAAGUGGGAAACGAUGUGGGAAGGCCCAGACAGCCAGGAUGUUGGCUUAGAAGCAGCCAUCAUUUAAAGAAAGCGUAAUAGCUCACUGGUCGAGUCGGCCUGCGCGGAAGAUGUAACGGGGCUAAACCAUGCACCGAAGCUGCGGCAGCGACGCUGAUGCGUUGUUGGGUAGGGGAGCGUUCUGUAAGCCUGUGAAGGUGUGCUGUGAGGCAUGCUGGAGGUAUCAGAAGUGCGAAUGCUGACAUAAGUAACGAUAAAGCGGGUGAAAAGCCCGCUCGCCGGAAGACCAAGGGUUCCUGUCCAACGUUAAUCGGGGCAGGGUGAGUCGACCCCUAAGGCGAGGCCGAAAGGCGUAGUCGAUGGGAAACAGGUUAAUAUUCCUGUACUUGGUGUUACUGCGAAGGGGGGACGGAGAAGGCUAUGUUGGCCGGGCGACGGUUGUCCCGGUUUAAGCGUGUAGGCUGGUUUUCCAGGCAAAUCCGGAAAAUCAAGGCUGAGGCGUGAUGACGAGGCACUACGGUGCUGAAGCAACAAAUGCCCUGCUUCCAGGAAAAGCCUCUAAGCAUCAGGUAACAUCAAAUCGUACCCCAAACCGACACAGGUGGUCAGGUAGAGAAUACCAAGGCGCUUGAGAGAACUCGGGUGAAGGAACUAGGCAAAAUGGUGCCGUAACUUCGGGAGAAGG